CCUACGGGCGGCUGCAGUGGGGAAUAUUGCACAAUGGAGGAAACUCUGAUGCAGCGACGCCGCGUGGAGGAAGAAGGUUUUCGGAUCGUAAACUCCUGUUGUCGGGGACGAUAAUGACGGUACCCGACAAGAAAGUGACGGCUAACUACGUGCCAGCAGCCGCGGUAAAACGUAGGUCACAAGCGUUGUCCGGAAUUACUGGGUGUAAAGGGAGCGCAGGCGGGGAGAUAAGUUGGGAGUGAAAACUAUGGGCUCAACCCAUAAAUUGCUUUCAAAACUAUCUUUCUUGAGUAGUGCAGAGGUAGGCGGAAUUCCCGGUGUAGCGGUGGAAUGCGUAGAUAUCGGGAGGAACACCAGUGGCGAAGGCGGCCUACUGGGCACCAACUGACGCUGAGGCUCGAAAGUGUGGGUAGCAAACAGGAUUAGAUACCCCGGUAGUC
rnacentral:rRNA from 1 species